CAAAAAAUGAUAACAUCAUUUUUAUGUGACUCAUAUGCAAAAUGAAAUACAUUCAUCUAUGAGAUCGGCUGAUGGGAAAUAAAAUCAGAUAUUUUACUUCUAACUCCAUCAAGCAAAAGAAAAAUCAGUUGUGAUUCCAAGAAGAGAUGAACUCUUGACUAAGAGUUUUCGUGCAGGAUCUUUAUACACGUCCAAGGUCAGGAGCGGCGGCCGUGAGGAGAUACCCCAUGUCCAAGGUAAGGAGCAGCGGCUGUGCUUUGCUGGAGCAGCCAUGAAGAGAUCACCCAUGUCCAGGGUAAGAGAAACCCAAGUAAGACAGUAGGUGCCGAGAGAGGGCAUCAGAGGGCAGACAGACUGAAACCACAAUCACAGAAGACUAGCCAAUCUGAUCACAUGGACCCAGCCUUGUCUAACUCAGUGAAACUAGGCCAUGCUGUGUGGGGCCACCCAAGAUGGAUGGGUCAUGGUGGGGAGGUCUGACAGAAUGUGGUCCACUGGAGAAGGGAAUGGCAAACCACUUCAGUAUUCUUGCCUUGAGAACCCCAUGAACAGUAUGAAAAGGCAAAAAGAUAGGACACCGAACUGAACUGAAGAGUUUUCAUGCAGGGUCUUUAUAAAGCUAUUCUUUAAGUCUCCCUCAAGGGAUUAAGGGAUUAUUUCAGGUCACUCAAAUGCCUAGUGAGAUCAGGCCACAGCAUGAUUUUUGUAGAAAAUUCCACUCAAUUGAUCACCUACUUAGGAAUUUCUGGAAAGGAAUCCCAUAGGAUUUCUGUCAGGUUAGAUUCCCUUACACAAAACAUGGUCUUCCAAUGGAGAACUCGGCAGGGCAGCUGGCCCUUCCAGUCUGGAGAAUGGAAAAGGAUGAGGAGCAAAAUGGCGUUGAUUUUCUUCAUGGUAAUAAUGGCUUCUGCUGCCUUGACUCAGAGCCAAAGAGCCACACAGAUACAAUGCAGCUCUGCUCAAUGGGUGGCAGCGAUGAGGAACAGAAGCCUGGUUUUAGCUAAAACAAGGAUUUGAGAUGAAAGAAGGGUCAAAGAUGAAUACAGCCUGAGUUGCUCUAGCUGGGGCAGCCUGAGCAGUGAAGCAUGCAUUUCAGUCUAACUUUCAAGAGAAUGUUCCUACGCCAAGAUGAGAAUGUUACACUAUGCCAAGAUGGGUGACUAAUUCUCAGAGCAUCCAACUUCUCUAAACAAAUUCAAUUCUGGAUUUGAGUGCUGGGAAUACUGACUGAUGGCAUCAAAGCAGCACUGCCAAUAUUAAGAAAUUGCUUGUGGAAAAAAAAAAAAAGAAAGAAAUUGCUUGUGAUACAAACAGCCUCAUUCACAUUACUUUCUUCCUAUUGACUUUUAUUUGUGAGCGAGAGUGGGAGUUUUGCAUCCUCUUUCUCUCUAUCUCUUCUCAUUCAAAGUGACUCCAUCUACUCCUGUGGUCUUUAAGUAGCCAUCCAUCCUCUGGGCAGUCUCAGUUUUUUUGUUGUUAUUGUUGUUGUUUUUCCCCCUGUAGCCCAGACCUCUCCAGAUUUGAAUUCCGAACUCUGAUGCGGAAAACUUCUCAUAGUUUCUGGGUGGAUAUAUGUAAAAUGCAUCCAAAACUCAGUAUGUCUAAAACAAACUCCUGAUUUCAACUCUGUUUCCUUGCACAGGUUCCCAGCUUUAGUAAUGGGUAACUCCACUCUUCCUGUUACCCAGGACAAACUCAUUCUUGUCGAUUUUCUUUUCCUUACAUCCCACAUGUAAUACCAUUGCAAACUGAAUUCAACAAUACAGUUGUAAUUAUCCUCCCCUUUGUGUGUUGCUUACCCAAAAGAGUAGGCCUUUAAAAAAUCUCUGUCCCUCCUAUCCACCUUGUAGAAUGUGAACUCAGGAUCUUUCUGCUCCAUCAUCUUGGCCACAUCUCCCUAAAUUAAUUUUUUUUAAAUGCUCAACAUCUGAAGAAAGUUUUUUGUCAAACCCAAUACUCCAAGACUAAAUAGAGAGAAGUAAAAUAAAAUGUAAUGAUCUG
rnacentral:lncRNA from 1 species